rnacentral:lncRNA from 1 species
AGUAAACUCGGCAACCUUGUCUCUGACCAGCGCUUUGGAAAAGGGACUCAAAGCUUAUCUGGCAGGUUGGUCUGUCCACAUCAAGGACACAUCCUGUCACUCUGGUGAAGAUUCCCUGUGUUCCUUGCUGCACCAAUCAGUGGUUGAAUCAGCAGAGGGGAUGCCACAUCCUAGUCAGAGCACAGGAGUCUGUGCAACGGGAUCUAUUCCAGAAUGCUCGGAUUUUCAUGGGUGUUCCCUCCACGAUGGGAAGCAGCUGAUCAGUUAUCCCAGCAAGCACUGAAGGCUUGCUUGCCAGUAUGGAAGGAGACUCUCUCUAUACAGCCUUCCGUGGUGAUCUCCUGGGAGGGGAUGGUUCAGUCCUGUGGUACAGCGUCCCUGCAUACAGAAUUCAUGCCAUAG